CCGUGCCUCACGUGGAGUGCCCUCACUUCGACCAAUCAGCGGCCGCGGGUGGGGGCUAGGGGGCGGGACUGAGGCUUGAAGCCCGAGAAGGCGCUUGCUACAGGAGAAAGGGACUUGGAGUAGCAUGCUCGCUGGCCAAUCGGGAGGAGAAAAGCGAGUCUCCGUGAGUGGAGUUUGGCGCGUGGAAGACUUGAAGGCGUUACUAAACAAGUUACAAUGUGAACUUGUGAGCUUCCCUUCAGGGAGAUGUAGUUACAAUUCCAGCACACUGGCCCACUCUCUCUUGGUGGUAUGAGACUUUCUACAACUGAAUGCCCAGAACUUCCCAUCACUGACCCAGGAGCCAUUAUCAAGAGGAUUCCGAGGAAAGGUGCCAUUCCUCUGGGGCCGCUGACCUCUGACAGACUGACAAGCUUCCAGGGCUCCUGGUGUUCUGCAGCCUGAGAAGAUGCAGAAAGGCUCUGUUCGGCUUACAUGGACUUGAUUUGAACUCCCUAUAGAGCUUUCAAGUAGCAUGCGCUAUGAUCUGCAUUCUACUGUACAUGUUGUCUCCUGUUUGCUUUGAACAGUGCACUACACAUGGCACUGAAGAAACACCCUUCUUUUUUUCUUAGUAAGUAUACUGUACUAGAAGCAAACGUUAAUUGCACAGCAAAAUCUACAUAGGCCUUUUUGCAAAUUAAAAUAUGUAAAGAUUAUUACAUUCACUUUGCCCCUCUGCCCUGGAAGAAGGUUCACACAGGUAGAAGAAUGAAUGGAAGACAGCAGUAAGAAUGAUUUUGUAAAAAGCUAAAAGGUGGAGGAGGGCUGUGGCUCAGUGGUUGAGUACAUGCUAGCAUAUAUAAGGUCCUGUGUUUGCUCCCCAGUGCCACAAAAUAAAAUAAACAAGAAUCUGCAGGCACUCGUCUUCUCUGUGAGCUUCACCUACUCCCAAGAUACAUGUAUCUCCCAAGCUUGCUGUCCAGCAAAGACCUCCAGCUAAGCACUUUAGCCAGAUUUGUUUAAAAUAUCAAGGCUUACCCCAGUGACAUAUGUUCUCCAGCAAGGCUAUACCUCCAAAACAUACCCAGACAGCACCACCAGCUGGGUGGACCAAGUAGUGAAAAGCCCAAGACUAUGGGGGACAUUUAUUAUUCAAACCACUGCACUCCAGAACCAGCUUUCUGGCUUGGUAGCUUUACUUCAUUAACAUACCAAUAGAACACCAGAGUCCAAUCAAGCCCUUAGAAAACUGUCCCUCACUGAACCUGGAUCUCCCUGCUGUUCAGCUAGACUGGUUUCUGUCUCCACCUUCCCCACCCUCCAGCACUGGGGUAUGAGUACAAGGGGCCACAUGUACUUUUCACAGGAAUUCUAAAGAUCUGGACCAAGCCCUACCUGCUCACACAAACAAGAUGUAGACCUCUCAGCUCCUCCUGCCUAAUGCCUGCCUGGACACUGCCAUGCCUCUCACCAAGAUGAUAAUGGACUGAACCUCAGAACCUUAUCUUGGAAAUGACUAAGGACAGAAAGGGAGAGGAUUCCUUGCCCGUGUGUAAAGAAUUUCUACAGAAAAAUGUGGGUGAGUCCUAUGCACUGGAGAGGGCAUACUCUGGCUUCACUGCACAAAGGAGAUGUUUUCAUCAGUGUAUUUUGCAUUCAAGCAUCACACCCUGCAUAAGAAUCCUCAUACAGACUCCUGCUGACUAAAGGAAAAGCAAAUUACUGUAGACAGCACUGGCUUGACUGUGUCCCUAAAACCACAGCUGUGAACACCUCCCCACCACCAUCACCAUCACUGUUGUGUGGUAGUCCGAGUGAGGGCAAUGGGUCCUAAUGGAUUAAUGCCAUUACUAACGGGCGUCUAACAUAGGACAGCAAGUUUUGUUCAACUCCCCUCACCCUCGACUGCCUCACUCCACCUUCUACCUUGGGUCAAGCAGCAAGAAGGUCUGGCUAUACACCUGUCCUCCAUCAUGAAGUUUUCAGUCUCCAGAAGUGUGUACCAACCACUUCCAGGUGACCAAUUUGGGGUCAGCAUGAACUACUGAGCAGUACAGAAUGAAUGAAGGCACGAGAUGACAGAAAAGACAUGAAUGACAUCACACAGUGGUGGCAGAUGGCCCUGCUCUUGCUGUCUCAGGAAACUAUAACCAAAACUCACAGCAGAAAUUAUCUUCCUCAGAUGGCAAAGACGGGCACCUGAGCCCAGAAAGAGGAGGCAAGAACUUUAAAGGGAGAAGCUGCUGCGCACAGGGCAGCUCUGCCUGCCAACCUCCAAUUAGUUCUACAAACCUACAAACAAAAGAGAACACCCCCAGCCCCCAGACUUCAGAGGAAAAAGCAAAACUGUACACCACACAUCAAGAGGUUGGCAAAAGGGACUCAAGUGCAAAAUCCAAACAGGGAGAAAGGAUUUGUUCCCGUCAGCCAUCAUGGGAAUAUUGUCAGAGGGGAGAGAGAGAAGGCGAGAACGAAGGGAUGCCACAAGCGUCUGACUUGGCCUGGCUUGUGGACGAGGCUGACUACCAGGGUCCAGCAACCAAGACUACUGGCUACCCUAGUUAACAUCCUGAUCAAGCUACAGCACCGAAUCCUAGCCCAUCCUAAUACAGACUCCCCUUUUCACUUCUUAAAAGCUUGAAUGACUUGCAUGAGUACUAUUGAAGCUAUGUGGAAGAUACACCGUAUGGGAACCAAAGAAAAUCCAGAAGACUAGGCAGGAGGCUAAUUAAAUAGUCCAUACUAAGGUGAUGGGAGAGGUCAAGUUGACUGCAAGGGCAUAGCCUGAAAAUGGAAAGAGAAAGCAUUGCUUUAUUCUGCGUUGCUAAAACAAAAUACCGCAAGCUGAGUAAUUUAUGGAGAAGAGAUGUUUCACCUUACAGCUCUAAAGGUGGGAAGUCCAGGGGUCAAGGUGUUGUCACCUGAGAAAAUAUUUCAUGCUUCACUACCUCUGGCAAACAGUAAGUGCAAGGUGAGGCCAGCAUCAAUUUUAUCACAAGAACCCAUUCCUGGUAGUAAUGGCAUCUUCCCACUCAUGAGGACAGAGACUCAUGAGCACCUCUGUAACAUAAAUGCCAAGACCUAGCCGGGUACCUGGGCAAGGGUGUUUAAUGGAAGACACGUUCAUGUUGAAGGGGCAAACCUGGGAGUCUGUAGUUAUGCUACAUAUGACAGCUGGGAGCCAAAGAGACCUAGUGCCUCAAAGGGUCAGCACUCAGAAAAGAGGAGAUACCAAGAAGGCUGUAAAAAUGUUCCAAGAAAAGGCAGGAAAACCUCCUGAGACUCAAAAGACAAGAGUUUCCAGAACAGCACUCAUUGGCUUAAGCACCACAGGAGGAUGAGUGUCCUGACUGACCAUAGAAUUCAGCAGCCCUUUGAACAGUUGACCGAGGUCCCUGAAAUGAGAAAGCAAGUGUCUGAGCAAGUAAAUGCUUUGACAAAGCAUGCUCACACAUCUACUCAGUAACAGGUAACGUCACCUUUCCCAUGGCAACUGAUUCAUUCAUUCAGGGACUUUGAGAGAACACCAACUUUAAACUAAAAGAAAUAUUUAUCAGUGUGCCACUGAGCUGCUCUAGCACAAUGGCAGAAAAAGAAUGAUCCAGUGUUCAAAACAGAGCCAAGGGCUCUUCAAAUCUAAUGGCCAGGCCACAGCACCUACAGCAAGCCCAGGAGCUCAACAGCAAGAAGUACCCACAACACUCCCUUUGUUCUCUUACAGUAGAUGAUUCCCACACAAAUAAAGAAGCCCAAAGGCCCAACCGCUGAACUGAGCUACUGUGUGCAGAAGGCCAGCUAUGGACAACCUUUGCCUUUCAUUUGAUUUCUUUACAAGGUUGUCACAAAGAGAGCAUGAGGAUAGACUUUUAUAAAUUUGCAAAUUAUCUAUUUAAUUUAUUACCGAUGUGUGUGAGAUAGAUAGAUAGAUAGAUAGACAGACAGACAGACAGACAGACAGACAGACAUGGUGGGGUGGGCUCCUGUGGAGACCAGAGGAAUACUUUGCCAGUAGGUUUGACCCUUGACCCUUGACCUGGAUUUUAAAGAGAGCAAGCAGCCCUCAGGCUUGCCAAGUAAGUGCCUCUACCAGCAGGGGUGUGGGGAGGAGGUCGGGGACUGAGAGGUGAGAGCAGGAGGAGGCAUGGAGGUGGGAGAGUCACACAUCAGAUCACCAGCCUUUGUUGUUUGUCUGUUUUCCUUUAGUGAGCAAAAAUGACAAGAAAUCCCUAAGAUGGUCAAUGUCUUUGGAAAAACCAGUUUAAAGAAUCCCUUACCAUCCUCCCAAUUUUCAGCCGCUGGCCACCAAAACAGUUGCACUGUGCCUAUGGCUGCUCAGUCAGUGCCAAGCUUCUGCCAGGCCUUUUUGACUAGGACACUUUAGGAAGGGAAGACCAGGGACACCGGUGGCAUCAAAUCCUCCAUGUGCUCGUUUGGCAGACAGUGUCGCUCUGUGGAGAGGAACCAUGAGCAGGGCCACGACCACACACACUGCUUGGGUUAUCUUCCUUUAUGACUGCUGCUUCUUUAUCCUAGACCCAUUGAGGACUUGCAGCCGAGAUCAGCCUGUUUGGGCUACCGAUGCCCAGACUCUGUCUCUAACACCUCUGGUAACAGGCGAACCCACACAGUAUGGGACCCUAAAGACAGUCGGCCAUUUGGAUUUGCAACCCUGCCAAGGAGGAGAGGAGGGCAAAGAGCUCUGGGAGAAGAGAAGUGGAAGUGAGCAUCAAUAUUUAGAUGCUGUCCUUCAGCAGCCUGUCAGGUGACUCUGUGUCAGUGAUCAUGAAAGAGCUGAAGGUGAAGUUCCGGCAGAACUCAGCCAUGGUCAGCAGAUACUGGCCAUAUUUCUCGGUGUGUGAAGCAGGUAGGUUUUACAUGGUUAAAAAUAUACUCAUUUGGAAUGUGUUCCAAACAACUGGAUAUGUAAAACCAUGACUUCACUGUCAGUCAGCAGGCUUCGGGAUUGAGGGUGACAGCUUGUUGGGAGGGAAUCAGCGAUGCAGAAGCCAAUGCAAGCAGGGGCACUUGUGCUUUUACACACAUGCUGGAGAGACCUUCAACUGCACAGUGAAUCUGUGACUCCAACAGGUCCAGUUUGACACCCUAGUCUCUCCCACGCAUGUGCGCAUCAAAAUUCUGAUUUAAUAGCCACGCUGUGGUACUUACCUCUCCAUCUCAUGGCCCAGAUGUAAAUAGAGAAAUUUUACAUCCAUACAAGAACUCAUACACAGACAGGAAGAGAAAAGAGGAGACUCUUUAAUCUCUAGCGAUCUAUGCUGCAGUUUGAGUGUAGCUAAUGGUCAGAAUCACUCCACCAGUAGGUGGCACUAUGGCACUAAAUAUUAGAGAGACUUGUCUGCCACAGGCCUUACAACUUGGUAUUCUGGUCACUAACUCUAAUAAAGCUGUGCAAUGCUAGACAUCUGGAAUGGCGUGGGCUAGGAAAUCCAUCUGCAGUCGUUUCUUCCACACUGCUCGAAAAUUCUAAUUAGGAGAUUUACUUCACGGAACAUAUUAAUUAGGAAAACCUUCAUGGCCUCCCUACCUCUGACUCCCCAGAAGAUGAAAUACUAAAAAUGACUAAUUCAUUCUGUGUUAUGAAAUAUUAUUAUUCUUUUGUGGAACUGAAAGUCUUUUUAUAUCAGCAGGGCCAUGAAGCAGGAGUCAGCCAUUGUUUCUUUUUCUGUUUGGUUGGUGGCAUGUUUGUUUUGCUUGCUGGGGACUGACCUGGUGGCCUUAGGGAGGACACAGGAUCCACACACACCCUCUACCAAUAAUCUACACUCCCAGCCCCUGUGUUAGCUCUCCAAUUCAGAUCUGACUUCUGCUUGGGCUCUUUUAUAUUUUCAUAUCUCAGAAGCUGGCCUUACCCCUAUCGACUCAUGGGACACUCAUUCUCAAAGCCCCCUUGUUUCUAGAGUUAGUAGGGUCAGAACCCGGAACCUGAACUGAGCAUGGUCAGAAUCUGCCUAGUGGUAGUGACCUACUCCCUCACAGGGCAAAAGAGGGGAGGGCAGCAGCUGAGGCCCAGCUGCAAGUCAGUAGCAGAGCGGAUGAAUCAACCUCUUGGAAGGUCAUGGCUCCAAGUGGGCCUGAAUGAAUGAAUGGGGCUGCAGGAAGGGGACGAGACAGACUCCAGUAGGGCAGGAAUAAGUGAAGAUCGGCAGGCUUCCUUUACCACUCCUACUCUAACCACAGUCCAAUACCAUCCGCCUAGGUUGGUGCUAAAGUUCCAAAGCACCAUGCUAUAAAUCCUUUUGCUUGCCACUUCUAGAAUGUUCAUUUAGCAUAAUGAGGCUCAUAUUAUAGAGGAUCGUUCAUCCCAGGCAAGCAGAUACAGCCCAGAGGCCAGUGUGUAGCCUUCUCCACUCAUAUUCUCCUCAUACAGCAAAUCAAGGGGAGCAGAAAUGGCGGCUCCUAGAUUUUGAUUGGCUCGUUUGUUUAUUAGCACGGUGGCCUUCUCGAUCUCGAUAAGCUUGUUUUAUGGGCACUAGUCUAUCCGGGCUUGUUUUAAAAUGUUAUGGUUCUGCUUUGCCUUUUCAAAAAGUAAGCACCUAAAGUCCUUUUCAGUCAGAAAGUUUCAGUGAAUCCCUCUGCCUGCUCUGGGGAAGGAUAGUUAGAGGCACGAGAAUAGGCUCACCCCACCCUGACUCCCACCCCAGUCCUGGCUCUUCUUGUCUUCCUGGCAGACUCCCAGGGGUUUCACCAUGACUGACAGACCUGUACCCACCUUUCUGAGAAACAUUGCAAGCAUGAUGGUCAAAAGACCGCACCUCAGGUCCACCCUCCUUGUGACCUACUGUCAAGUAAGGCUUGCUUUGAUCAACAUUUUCAGCACUGUUUGUGUUCUCUGCGCCCGCUGCAGCCCUGCACGAUCUGAUGCUCAUCUUCAGGAAUAGAGCUCUGGGCAUAGGAGAAGUCAGCACGGCUGCAUACACUUUCCUUACUAUCCUGACCUGGUUGUAGAUUGAGUUAUUUCAAACCCCGCACCACGCGUAAACUCACUGCUGAGGGCCCAUCCCUGCGGGCCUCUCUUGGCGUGCAGCUUUCUUCGUGCUUAAUCAACAGACUCUCUGAACGCAGUUCACUCCCACUCUCCCAGAAAUGCUUUCUGUGUCAGACCCAGAUGCCAGGUUCUGGCGUGGCUCCCUAGGCUGCGCUGCCAGCCAUGUCAGGUCGUGUCUCUGUAUUUAGUGAUGCCGUCAGGAAGCCAGUCAUAUGGGAGCCCCCCACCUCCUGGGGAACUGUGGACAGAUUCUCUGGGGAGAGUUAUUUUCCAAGCUAAUAGAGGUUUUCUUUCCUCCCUUUGACUCAUCUCAGAAACUGUUUAAUAUUCAUUUUCGGGGCCCUAAACUGCAUUUAAUGGUUUGUUAAUGUAGUAAUAUCUAACAGUAAUGGCUCCGUGGUUCUCCACCUUCCUAAUGCUGCCACCCUUUAACACAGUUCCCCAUAAAAUUACAUCAUUGCUACUUCAUAACUAAUAUUGCUAUCAUUGUGAAUUAUAAUGUAAAUACCUGUGAUUUUUUUUUUUUUUUUUUUUUUUUUUUGGAGCUGGAGACCGAACCCAGGACCUUGCGUUUGCUAGGCAAGCGCUCUACCACUGAGCUAAAUCUCCAACCCCUACCUGUGAUUUUCAAAUGGUGUUAGGUGACCCCUCUGAAAGGAUGGUUUGAUCCCCAAAGAUGUCUCGACCCACAGGUUGAGAACAGGUUUAGGAAAUGAAAUCUUACUCACCUAACAGGUGUUUGCCGGGUACACUGUUUUAAGUCUUUAAGACAAGAGGUAAAAACUCGUUGGCUUUAGGCAGCUUACAUGAAAUGCAUCUUAAUUAAUGUAUUGUUACAGAUUAAAACACUACGUGAAAAUUUGAUGAGAUUGUGAUAUUUCAAUCUGAUUUGGGAGAUGUGGUGAACAAGUUACACUGGACACUCACACACAUCUUUAAUUUUAAAUUUAUUUAGUGUAUGUGCAUGAGUUUGGAGGUCAGAAUCCAGCUUUCAGGAGUGGCUUCUCUCCUUUUACCUGAGGGUCCUGGAGAUAGAAGUCAGGUCACCAGGGAUGCUGCCAGGAGUCUUUAUGUGCUGAGCUCUCCUCUUGGUCUCACGCAUUCGUCUUUGAAAGGAUCUUAACCUCGAGGGUAGCAGUUUGUAUUUACUUGGGCAAGAACUAGGGAGUUGUUAUUUUUGUUUUGUUGUUUUGUACUGGAGAUGGACCCCAAGUCCUCACAUAGAUUGAGCACAGACUCUCCCAUUCCCUCCUUCCCUCCACUGCCUUGAAGUUUUCCGGAGACCAUAAUAAGCACAUUACUUAAGGUCCACCGCUGUGACAUAUGGACGGAUUCACUGGUCUUUCUGGAUUAUUUCCACGUGGUCCACUUUUGUGUUUUAGUUUUACUCUGUCGCUGGGCUUGUCAAGGUGUUGACAGCCCCUCUGAAUUCCCACAGAAAAGUAGGUGCUAAAAAAAAAAUAGAUAUAGUGUUAUAGACAUGGAUGGCCUGUAGGUGGCAAGAGUGAGCAACCACAAAUCUGACUAACUCCACCACAAACCCAGCCGACUGACUACCUCAUCAGAGGGCUUCCCUCGACAGUUUGCCCAAAACAACAUCCCUGAAGUCUCUCAGCCCCUUAUGUUUUGUCCACAGCGUUUCUCAGUAGUUGAUGUUAUAUGAUAUUUGUUAGUUCAUUGCCAAUAUUUUUUCUAAGCUAAUCUUUUCUAAAAAAUUACGCACACCUAAAUUUAACACAUAUGUGCCAGUGCCCCAAGACUCAUGUGGAGAUCAGAGGGAGGACAAUUGGUCUGGAAGGUGUUUCUCUCCUACCCUGUGGCUUCCGGGAUUCAAACUCAGGUCUUCAGGUUUGGUGCAUUCAUGUGCUGAGCCAUUUUGUCAGCCCUUUAUUGCCUCUUUCUUUCUCCUCAAAUUUAAUCCUGACCACAGGGUCUUGAUUUUGUUCAUAUUGAACUAGGCCUGGAAAACCGUGCUCAGUGUAUGGGUAAAGACGAACGGCCACUGGGAGGGAAGAGCUAACCAACUGAAGGGCGCAGAAGCAUUUUAAAGGCAUACUUUAAGGAGUCUGGCAUCAUUUCUCAUCAGCGGUAAAGGCAUCCUGCCACUGUGGAGAGGAGAGAUGUCUUUCAACACUUGUAAAGACGUGUCAUUAAAGAUCAGUGAUCCGCUAAUGGCUAACUUGACCGUUAGUCCAUAGGUCAAUGGGAAUACCCAGAUGCGCUCUGCUCCUGGCAUGCAGAUGAUGCCUGGUUAAGCAAUGUGUUUCCCGGAUCUUUGUAACAGAGUUUCCUGUUCAGUGUUUAUUGCAGGUGAAACAGGCUGUUCUAAGUCUGAGUUACCUUUGCUUCCUCACGAAUGAGCUUACCCUAGUCAGAGAAUGUGGCAGAAGGGCCACGCUCGGUAAACUUGUAGCUGUGGCGGUGAGUGUACAAAUUGAUUUGCACUCCUGUCUCUCUUGCAAAAUAUUCAGUAAAUAUUUGGGCCUCCGAGCUAUGUGGUGUUGCAAAUCUGAUGUGUUUACAAAACGGAGGUCAGAGCUCCCACACACAAGGGUAGAGCAAGUAGACACAGCCUUGGAAGGUGGCUGGAGUGUGUCCCCUUUUGUGAUCUCAGGAAGCCAGGUAUUUCAAGAUGUCAACACAAAGCCAGCCCUUCUCCCACAGAUCUCACUUUGGAGGACAGAAGUGCAGUCAGUCACAGAAGGGUAGUAGGCCUCCCUAGUAGUGAAAACUGAACAGAAAAAUUUAAUCUUCUACAUGUUUUAUUUGUAGAAGUAAAGAUUGCAGGAUAAAGGAAGUAUGGACUUUAGGCAGGCAUGGUGAGCUGUUUUGUGGAUGCAAUAAUAUUUUCUAUUCAUAUCAUUAUUGUCUAUUCUUUAUCAAUGUAUACUCUACCUCAAAAUAUAUGAUUGUGUGCACACAUGAACACACACGUGUGCACACAUAUGUGCGCGCAUGCACACACACACACACACACACACACACACACACACACACACACACAAAAUGAGAAGAUAUUUUUCCCAAGUGGAGGGCUGGCCAUUUUCCCCUCUGUCUUACAGACUUGACCCACUGCUUUCUAGCACAUACUUUUGUGAGUAAAACCUGAUGUUUCUGGUCUUCAUUUUGUUGGUUGGUUUUUGUGGCCUCACUUGCACACAAGUGGCAACAGCUAGGCUGCAUCAUGGAAUCCGGCAUGAAGCAGAUGGAUGCCCCAAAUGGAUGGCGUCUGAGCUUUCAGGCCUAUGUCAGCUCACUAGGACAGAGUGUCAUCUCUGUUAGCAAACUGGUUCUGAGUCAAGUGCUACAGAUAAUCUUUGGAGCAAAGCUGAGCACCAUCAACAGGAGACACUCAGAAGUCCCCAGGGGAUGCGAAGGCCCGCAUAGCAGGUGUAAUCUCAACUCAGAACACAGAUGGCUGUGGGUAAGGAGCCUGGAAGAUUAUUGCUCUCACAGGCAAACCUGCACCUUCUGAAUCACACUAAGUUGUCACUUGCCUCACAUGAUACAUCUACUGUUUUCUCUACAAACAAAGCUAGAAGUAGAGGAAAUCUGAUCUAAGAAAUGCCCUUUUUUUCCUAGGAAUUCAUUAAUCAUUUAUGAUGAAUCCAAGAAAUGAGUGGCACAAGCACAGAGGGGAGCCAUUAGUUAAAAUAGAAUUAACCAAGUGGUAACAAUGCAAGACACAAUGUAGGUCACUAGACCUAGGGCUCGAACCUGGCAGAAGGUACAUCUUUUUUUUUCCCCUAAAAUUCUGAUAACAAGUUUCAGAUUUCGAUCCAACCUUUAAAAAAAGAAGAAGAAAAUAAAAGUGUUUCAAUUCCCAGUCUGGAGCGAGGGCUUGUUGAUUAAAAGCACUUGCUACUCCUGCAGAGGACCCAGGUUCCUUAGCCAUAUGCUGGUUCAUGGCAGCUCAGAACUAAUUCCAGGGAGCUCUCUUCUGGACUCCUCCAGCACCGGGCACACACACGAUACUAUGCACAUAUGAAAACAAACACUCAUACACAUGGAAUCAAAAUAGGUACAUUUUUUUAAUGUUCCAAUUCUAAACUUCUGAGAUAAAAUUCUUUUACUUCUUCAGUGUAUGGGUUUUAUUUAUGUUAUGCAAAUUGAUGCAGCUAAUAGAACUUCAUGACCUUGAACACCUACCAGCCAACCUGUGGCAAUGAUUGUAGUCUGAAAUUCAAGUCAGUAUUUCCCACCUUCGGUGCAAAGACCCAUGGGAGAAGCACGUGAUCCAUCUGCAUUCAGUUCUGUUGCUUUCAGGCACCUUCUUUCAAGGCAAGAAUCUACUUUUCAUCUGCAAGGGGUAGGCUUCAUUUAGCAGGAGCAACACUGGGUAAUCCAGAGUCCUUUACCUGGGGAGCCUUCUAGAUGAUAGUUAAUCACAACAGACCAUUUACUGACGUGAACUUCUUGUAUUUGCAACAAAGCUCAUGUCUCAUGAGUGCGGCAUAUGAAUAAGAAUCCCUGGGGGCUGGGGAUUUAGCUCAGUGGUAGAGCGCUUACCUAGGAAGCGCAAGGCCCUGGGUUCGGUCCCCGGCUCCCAAAAAAAAGAACCAAAAAAAAGAAUCCCUAUUAGAAGUCUAAGGAAAUAAGGAAAUUCUUUCUUGUACAAGUUCUGUAAAACACUACUUUUUUUCUUCUUUGCCAUGGCUUGCCGACAUUCAUAGGGACUACAAAAUUUCUGUCUGUAACAGCCAGAAUACAGCAAAUACAGAGGCGAAUGCCAGCAGCAAACCACUGAACUGAGAAUAGGUCCCCCGUUGAAGGAAUCAGAGAAAGAACUGGAAGAGCUUGAAGGGGCUCGAGACCCCAAAAGUACAACAAUGUCAAGCAACCAGAGCUUCCAGGGACUAAGCCACUACCUAAAUACUAUACAUGGACUGACCCUGGAC